rnacentral:rRNA from 1 species
AUUGAACGCUGGCGGCAGGCCUAACACAUGCAAGUCGAGCGGAUGAAGGGAGCCUGCUCCUGGAUUCAGCGGCGGACGGGUGAGUAAUGCCUAGGAAUCUGCCUGGUAGUGGGGGAUAACGUCCGGAAACGGGCGCUAAUACCGCAUACGUCCUGAGGGAGAAAGUGGGGGAUCUUCGGACCUCACGCUAUCAGAUGAGCCUAGGUCGGAUUAGCUAGUUGGUGGGGUAAAGGCCUACCAAGGCGACGAUCCGUAACUGGUCUGAGAGGAUGACCAGUCACACUGGAACUGAGACACGGUCCAGACUCCUACGGGAGGCAGCAGUGGGGAAUAUUGGACAAUGGGCGAAAGCCUGAUCCAGCCAUGCCGCGUGUGUGAAGAAGGUCUUCGGAUUGUAAAGCACUUUAAGUUGGGAGGAAGGGCAGUAAGUUAAUACCUUGCUGUUUUGACGUUACCAACAGAAUAAGCACCGGCUAACUUCGUG